rnacentral:rRNA from 1 species
CCUACGGGGGGCUGCAGUAACGAAUCUUCCGCAAUGUACGAAAGUAUGACGGAGCGACGCCGCGUGUAGGACGAAGCCCUUCGGGGUGUAAACUACUGUCAGGGGGAAUUCAACCCCAGAGGAAGGCACGGCUAACUCUGUGCCAGCAGCCGCGGUAAGACAGAGGUGCCAAGCGUUAGGCGGAAUCACUGGGCUUAAAGCGUGUGUAGGUGGAUUUGUAAGUACCUUGUGAAAUCCCAUGGCUCAACCAUGGAACUGCUCGGUAUACUGCGAAUCUUGAGCCACUUAGGGGCUACCGGAACAAAUGGUGGAGCGGUGAAAUGCGUGAUAUCAUUUGGAACGCCAAUGGUGAAAACAGGUAGCUGGAGGUGCUGACACUGAGACACGAAAGCCAGGGGAGGAACGGGAUUAGAUACCCUUGUAGUC